rnacentral:lncRNA from 1 species
AUUCAUCCAAUUUUGAUGAAGUUUUUUCAAUAUGUUCAGAAUUGGAAAUUUUUCCCUAUCUGUUAUACUUUGUGAGAUGGGAUUUGCAACUGUCCUCAUUUGCAUAAUCAGUUCAGUUCAUUUGAAGGUCACCGUUAGGUGGCCAAUCCAUGACUUCCUAUUUGUUGGCAUUGGCAGAUUUCUAAAAUCUAUGAUAGUUGUCGGGUUAUUUGGAGGGGUACAGAACUUUUCUUCCACCCUAUUUAAUUAAUUUUAUAAUGUUUUAAAAUUUAUUUCAUAUGAAGUGUUUUUUUAUGAAAUCCUUG